rnacentral:rRNA from 2 species
GUCAGCUAAGUGGCGCACGGGUGAGUAAUAUAUAGGUAACGUGCCCUAGAGAAGAGGAUAACAUCUGGAAACGGUUGCUAAGACUCUAUAUGCCUUUAAGUCAUAAGACUGCAAGGGAAAUAUUUAUAGCUCUAGGAUCGGCCUGUACGGUAUCAGCUUGUUGGUGAGGUAAUGGCUCACCAAGGCAAUGACACCUAACUGGUUUGAGAGGAUGAUCAGUCACACUGGAACUGAGACACGGUCCAGACUCC